UGGGGAAUUUUGGACAAUGGGCGCAAGCCUGAUCCAGCAAUGCCGCGUGCAGGAUGAAGGCCUUCGUGUUGUAAACUGCUUUUGUACGGAGCGAAAAGGUCUGCCCUAAUACAUGGGGCUAAUGACGGUACCGUAAGAAUAAGCACCGGCUAACUACGUGCCAGCAGCCGCGGUAAUACGUAGGGUGCAAGCGUUAAUCGGAAUUACUGGGCGUAAAGCGUGCGCAGGCGGUGAUGUAAGACAGGUGUGAAAUCCCCGGGCUUAACCUGGGAAUUGCAUUUGUGACUGCAUCGCUGGAGUACGGCAGAGGGGGAUGGAAUUCCGAGUGUAGCAGUGAAAUGCGUAGAUAUGAGGAGGAACACCGAUGGCGAAGGCAAUCCCCUGGGCCUGCACUGACGCUCAUGCACGAAAGCGUGGGGAGCAAACA
rnacentral:rRNA from 1 species